rnacentral:tRNA from 1 species
GGGCCCUUAGCUCAGUGGUAGAGCACUACCUUGACACGGUAGGGGUCGGUGGUUCGAAACCACCAGGGCCCA